rnacentral:ncRNA from 1 species
ACGGUAAGUAGAAGCGGUCAGGGGUUGCCCGGGACAUUGCUUAGCGG